rnacentral:pre_miRNA from 1 species
CAACUACUCCCUCUGUCCCAAAUUUCUUGUCUUAGAUUUGUCUAGAUACGGAUGUAUCUAAUNGUCCCAAAUUUCUUGUCUUAGAUUUGUCUAGAUACGGAUGUAUCUAAUACUAAAAUGUGACUUGAUACAUCCGUAUCUAGACAAAUCUAAGACAAGAAUUUUGGGACGGAGGGAGUACUUU